GCGCCUGUAGCUCAGAUGGAUAGAGCGGCAGCCUUCGAAGCUGAUGGCCGGGGGUUCGAAUCCCUCCAGGCGCGCCA
rnacentral:tRNA from 1 species